rnacentral:rRNA from 1 species
UACGUAGGGUGCAAGCGUUGUCCGGAAUUAUUGGGCGUAAAGAGCUCGUAGGCGGUUUGUCGCGUCUGCCGUGAAAGUCCGGGGCUCAACUCCGGAUCUGCGGUGGGUACGGGCAGACUAGAGUGAUGUAGGGGAGACUGGAAUUCCUGGUGUAGCGGUGAAAUGCGCAGAUAUCAGGAGGAACACCGAUGGCGAAGGCACUCUACUGGGCCGUUACUGACACUAAGAGACGAAAGCUAGGGGAGCAAAUGGG